rnacentral:rRNA from 1 species
AUUGAACGCUGGCGGCCUUCCUCCCCCCUUCACUUCGAACUUUCACAGGGAUCAGCUUUCUUAUUCGCUGACGAGUGGCGGACGGGUGAGUAAUGUCUGGGAAACUGCCUGAUGGAGGGGGAUAACUACUGGAAACGGUAGCUAAUACCGCAUAACGUCGCAAUACCAAAGAGGGGGACCUUCGGGCCUCUUGCCAUCGGAUGUGCCCCGAUGGGAUUAGCUAGUAGGUGGGGUAACGGCUCACCUAGGCGACGAUCCCUAGCUGGUCUGAGAGGAUGACACGCCACACUGGAACUGAGACACGGUCCAGACUCAUACGGGAGGCAGCGGUGGGGAAUAGUGCACAAUGGGAGCAAGCCUGAUGCAGCCAUGCAGAGUGGAUGAAGAAGGCCUUCGGGUGGUAAAGGAGGGGAAGAGGGGAGGAAGGGAGUAAAGUUAAGACAGUUGCUCAUUGAGGGUACAAGCAGAAGAAGCAAAGGAGAAAGCCGGG